UGCAAGUCGAACGGAGCACCCUUGAUUGAGGUUUCGGCCAAAUGAUAGGAAUGCUUAGUGGCGGACUGGUGAGUAACGCGUGAGGAACCUGCCUCUCAGAGGGGGACAACAGUUGGAAACGGCUGCUAAUACCGCAUGACACAUCGGAAGGGCAUCCUUCUGAUGUCAAAGAUUUUAUCGCUGAGAGAUGGCCUCGCGUCUGAUUAGCUAGUUGGUGAGGUAAUGGCCCACCAAGGCGACGAUCAGUAGCCGGACUGAGAGGUUGACCGGCCACAUUGGGACUGAGAUACGGCCCAGACUCCUACGGGAGGCAGCAGUGGGGAAUAUUGGGCAAUGGACGCAAGUCUGACCCAGCAACGCCGCGUGAAGGAAGAAGGCUUUCGGGUUGUAAACUUCUUUUGUCAGGGAAGAGCAGAAGACGGUACCUGACGAAUAAGCCACGGCUAACUACGUGCCAGCAGCCGCGGUAAUACGUAGGUGGCAAGCGUUGUCCGGAUUUACUGGGUGUAAAGGGCGUGCAGCCGGGCCGGCAAGUCAGAUGUGAAAUCCACGAGCUUAACUCGUGGACUGCAUUUGAAACUGUUGGUCUUGAGUAUCGGAGAGGUAAUCGGAAUUCCUUGUGUAGCGGUGAAAUGCGUAGAUAUAAGGAAGAACACCAGUGGCGAAGGCGGAUUACUGGACGACAACUGACGGUGAGGCGCGAAAGCGUGGGGAGCAAACAGGAUUAGAUACCCUGGUAGUCCACGCUGUAAACGAUGGAUACUAGGUGUGCGGGGACUGACCCCCUGCGUGCCGCAGUUAACACAAUAAGUAUCCC
rnacentral:rRNA from 1 species